rnacentral:pre_miRNA from 1 species
GAGAGAUAGUCUAGUCAACUGGUGUAGUCUCAUUCUCUGCAGACUACACCAGUUGACUAGACUAUCUC